rnacentral:lncRNA from 13 species
AAAGGAUGUUUCUUGGGAUGGUAAAAAGCAAGGGUGAGGGCACAGGAUCUUGGGACCUGUUUCUCAAAAGCAAUUUAUGAGAUCAAUCCAGUGCAGCAAUGGAAUGCUUUCAGGGAGAUGAAAAAUGAGAUGUAAUGAGGUGCUAAAGAUGAAAGUUACAUUGAAGCUUGGACAUUUUAAUUGAAUCAUGUUAAAACUUUAUGAAUUAUGCUUCCCUUUUGCUGUUUGUUCCUAUCCCAGAUAAUUUUAAAGUUUUCAAUGCCUGAGAACUUCAUAAAUAUCUGCAUUUCUUAGGUGCCGGGUAAUCUGAAUUACUAAAAUACAACAGGAAUGAGGCUGAGGAACAACUCUACUCUUGGGAGGACUUGGUUAACGCAGAGAUCAGCAAAUGCUCAGACCGCAAAACCAGAAGAAGUGGGCACCAGAAAUCAAGUGAAUAUUCAAAAAAGAAACCAAAUCAAAUCCUUACCAUGCUACUGGUAGACAAGAGCCCAUAUCACAGGACCAGAAGUCAGAAUCACCACUGGGUCUUGAGUUCCAGAUCACUAGUCAGGAGCACACCACAAAGGGCUCCAAGAAGCCUUACCUAGGUAUAGUAAACAGGUACUCCCAAGACAAGGGCUGAUCAUAUCCUGGUUAUGGCACUAAACUGAGAAAGAUUAAGUGUACCAAAGAAAUUAUUUUAUUUGUUUGUUUGUUUUAUUUUUGAGACGGUGUCUCCCUCUGUCACCCAGGCUGGAGUGUAUUGGUGGGAUCUCAGCUUACUGCAACCUCCACCUCUGGGGUUCCAGUGAUUCUCCUGCCUCAGCCUCCCGAGUAGCUGGGAUUAAAGGCAUAUGCCACCACACCCGGCUAAUUUUUGUAUUUUUUAGUAGAGACAGUGUUUCUCCGUGUUAGCCAAGCUGGUCUCAAACUCCUGACCUCAUGAUCCACCUGCCUCGACCUCCCAAAAUGCUGGGAUUACAGGUGUGAGCCAUUGUGCCUGGCUUAGAGAUGGUUUUAUUUAGACUACUGCAAAGAAUAUUCAAUAAUGAGAAACAUCUCAGAAAAAAUGAAGGGGGUCUAGGGUUUUUUAGUGACAGGUAAGCAAAGAAGCGAUGCAGGAGUUAGUGGGGGUCAUGAGGAGGGAUGGAGCUUGAAAUACAUCAGCUCAGGGUGAUCCUUAUUGAGUAGGAGGAUUUCUUCACCAUUGCUGCUUUCCAGGAGCUAAGCACUCAAAAUUUUACAUUGUUACAUUGUCAAUUAUAUAACAUGUUUGUUCAUUAAGAACACAGUAGUAGCAAUUGUUGGAAAUGGCAGCACACUUCACAGUACACUUUCUGUAUUUUAACUGCCUAGGAUCAAAUCCUGACUAUUCUUCACUAACUAUAUGACUUUGGAAAAAUAUACCAUCUCUGAUUCUUAUUUUCUUAUCAGUUCAUUGGGCAUUAAGAUAGUAGCUUCAGCAUAAAGCUGUUGUGAAGAUCAAAAACAGUAAAGAUGAAAAAUUCUGAUAAGCUGGUGAUCUGUCAUAAACAAUACUAUUAACAUCACCAGUUGUAACUAAAUGAAUGCCUCAAGAAAGAAUAUAAUUGUUCUAUUCCUAAAAUCUAUUUGACAAAGUAAACAUUUUUAUAAUUCAAUGACACAUUUUUUUAUUUACCAGGUUAGUUUGGUAAUUUUAAUAGAAACUUUUUAUAACUCUUAACAUAACUAAACAUUUUCAUCACUUCAUAAAGAUAGAGGUGAAUUUUUAAUUUGUUUCUUCAAAAGAAAUAUUUUCAUUGCACAGUAAACAGAAUAUAAAACAAUUAAUUAAAUAUUAAAAAAUUAAACCAAAAUAAAAUUCAAAGAAAACUAAAUGGUGUUUCUCUG